GGCAAUGGCCAUGGAGGAGCUGCGUCGAGGGCUGUCCCGCUGGAAGCGCUACCACAUCAAGGUACACCUAGCCGACGAGGCAUUGCUACUGCCACUGACCGUGCGGCCCCGGGACACACUGAGCGACCUGCGCGCGCAGCUAGUGGGCCAGGGCGUGAGCUCUUGGCGCAGAACCUUCUACUACAACUCUAGGCCGCUGCCCGACCAUCAGACAGUUCGCGAGGCUCACCUGCAGGACGGCUCGGUAUUACUUCUGCUCAGUGACACCAGAUAGGAAAUGGAGGAGAUGGAGCAAUGACUUUAGGGACACAAGAUGCUGGCUGAAGGAGCAAACUGGCCCAGGCACCACACCUCUCUCUUCCUGGGAGUCCAGUCAUACUCCAGGUGCUGGGCUUCCAGAAAGAUGCCAACUCCCCAGCCCUGCUGAUGCCCACUGCCUCUGGUGUUCCUGAUGGUGACUUCCUACACUGUCGUCCAGCCCUCCAUCCCCCAAGCCCCAGCAAGGAACCUUCUGGUUGUUCUGUGACCUUAGGACCCUCCCUCAGGAGCCACUGCUGCCUGGAUUGUCCUCUGUCCAUCCCCGGGAAGCUCAACAGGCACACUUCCUUCUUUAGAGGACCCACAGGACUCCAGCUACGAACAGAACAGAAGGACACUCUGAUCCAGGGGGUCCUGAUCAGAGAACCAAGGCCUGAGGUCCCAAAGCCACAGUGUGGAGAGAGCUUGUACCUACUCUCCAACAGUCAUCAGAAGCCAACAUGAACAGAACCUGUGGCUCACAGAGCAAAGGUGACCUGAGGAGGCUCCAGGUCUGUGAUAGCUGCUGCAGGUCAGGCUGCUGAGUGUGGGACCCCCACAAGCUCACCGUGUUCCUUGUGUCCUGACAUCUCCCUGAAUUCUGGCCACAAGACCAUCAGCUUUUUUUUUUUUUUUUUACCCCACCUUCUUUUUGUUUUUAUAGACUCCUAUUUAUUCUACAAAAGCCUACCUUCAGUGCCCCAUUUAUACACAGCCAUUCCUGAUACUCCAGUGGUAGCCUCCAGUGUCCUCCAGGUGCCUGCUAUGCCAGCGCUAUGCUCCUGUCCCAGGCCUGAGUCAUGAGCCCAGGUUAGGUAGGAGGCUCAUUCCAUCUCUGUGAACUCACUUCAGGAGACCCAAGGUCAUGUGCCUACGCCGGGCUCUAGGUGCAGAGGUGCCAUUUUGAAUGUGUAUCAAAUAAAGACUGAAAACAAAGCAGGA